GAGGGAGUGCUUGAAGGCUUCAAAACUCAUUUUGAGAACUUAGCGAAAGAAUCCUGUGAUGAUCAAUUUGACACUGAAUAUCAUGAAAUGAUCCGGGACGAAUUGAAGGUUAUAGAAACUAUGAUUGAACGAGAAAGAUGUAGAGCGGCUGAAGGCUGGCAACUUUAAGUAUAUUUUGUCACAUUCUGAACAGCUAAUAAAGCCUGAAGUGAAGAGACUGCUGAUGUCACACCCAUUGGCAAAUAGAAUAACAAACAUGGUUGUGGAUGAAGCCCACUGUAUCCUGUCAUGGGGUGCAUCAGAAUUCAGACCAGCAUAUAAAAAGCUUGGGAUGCUGAGAGCUGUUGUGCCCAAUGUAAAAGUUUUGGCGCUGACUGCAACAGCAACAUUAAAAGGCCAAGAGGAAAUAAUUUC
rnacentral:lncRNA from 1 species